rnacentral:lncRNA from 1 species
AACCGAGAGGUUGUGAGUUCGAGUCUCUCCAAGAGCAAGGUGAGAAGUUCUUGGAUGGUAAGCAACCCUCUUCCAACCAAGAGGUAGUGAGUUCGAGUCUCUCCAAGAGCAAGGUGGGAAGUUCUUGGAGGGAAGGAUGCCGGGGGUCUAUUUGGAAACAGCCUCUCUACCCAAGGGUAGGGGUAAGUUCUGCGUACAUACUACCCUCCCCAUACCCUACUAUGUGGGAUUAUAUUGGGCUGUUGUAAGGUUAAGAUAAGAAUUAGAUGCUGACCUGCACUGAUUGGAAGGUCAUGGGGCCCUGUGUGCUUUUUGGCUUCUUUUAUGCUCAUUCCCUUUUCUUUUUUUUCCUUUUCCAUUUACUGUCCUGUACCGUUUUGGAGCACGAUUAAUUUGGAUUUUUGCCAAAAUUUCAC